UACGUAGGGUGCAAGCGUUGUCCGGAAUUAUUGGGCGUAAAGAGCUCGUAGGCGGUUUGUCGCGUCUGCUGUGAAAAACUCGGGGCUCAACUCCGAGCUUGCAGUGGGUACGGGCAGACUAGAGUGCGGUAGGGGAGACUGGAAUUCCUGGUGUAGCGGUGGAAUGCGCAGAUAUCAGGAGGAACACCGGUGGCGAAGGCGGGUCUCUGGGCCGUAACUGACGCUGAGGAGCGAAAGCGUGGGGAGCGAACAGG
rnacentral:rRNA from 1 species